rnacentral:rRNA from 1 species
GAUGAACGCUGGCGGCGUGCUUAACACAUGCAAGUCGAACGGUAAGGCCCUUCGGGGUACACGAGUGGCGAACGGGAGAGUAACACGUGGGUGAUCUGCCCUGCACUUCGGGAUAAGCCUGGGAAACUGGGUCUAAUACCGGAUAGGACCACUGCCUGCAUGGGUGGUGGUGGAAAGGUAUUGCGGUGUGGGGUGGGCCCGCGGCCUAUCAGCUUGUUGGUGGGGUGAUGGCCAACCAAGGCGACGACGGGAAGCCGGCCUGAGAGGGUGACCGGCCACACUGGGACUGAGAUACGGCCCAGACUCCUACGGGAGGCAGCAGUGGGGAAUAUUGCACAAUGGGCGCAAGCCUGAUGCAGCGACGCCGCGUGAGGGAUGACGGCCUUCGGGUUGUAAACCUCUUUCAGCACCGACGAAGCGCAAGUGACGGUAGGUGCAGAAGAAGGACCGGCCAACUACGUGCCAGCCGCCGCAGUAA